rnacentral:rRNA from 1 species
AUGCGAUACUUGGUGUGAAUUGCAGGAUCCCGCGAACCACCGAGUCUUUGAACGCAAGUUGCGCCCGGAGCCUUCUGGCCGAGGGCACGUCUGCCUGGGCGUC